GAUGAACGCUGGCGGCGUGCCUAAUACAUGCAAGUCGAGCGAACGGACGAGAAGCUUGCUUCUCUGUUGUAUGCGGAAGGCGGGUGAGUAACACGUGGAUAACCUCCUUGUCAGACUGGGAUAACUACGGGAAUCGGUAUCUAAAACGAGAUAAAAUUCUGAACCACAUUGUUCAAAAGUAAGAGACGGCCUUGCUGUCACUUAUAGAUGGAUCCGCGCUGGAUUCGCUAGUUGUUAAGGUAACGGCUUACGAAGGCAACGAGGCAUAGCCGAACUGAGAGGGGGAUCGGCAACCGUGGAACUGGGACACGGUCCAGACUCCUAAGGGAGGCACCAGUAGGGAACCUUCCGCAAGGGGCGAAAGCCUGACGGAGAAAAGCCGCGUGAGUGAGAAAGGUCUUCGGAGCGUGAAACUCGGUUAUUAGUGAAGAACAUAUUUGUAAGUUACUGUGCACAUCUUGACGGUACCUAAUCAGAAAGCCACGGCUAACUACGUG
rnacentral:rRNA from 1 species